rnacentral:lncRNA from 1 species
AGUCCAGUAAACCUCUUUCUUUUGUAAAUUGCCCAGCUUCAGGGAUGGCUUUGUCAGCAGUGUGAAAACAGACUAAUACAAUCAUGUAUCAAUUGACUUAAAAUAUCUCUUUUAGCAUAUACUAAAUAAGUGGGUUAGUUUCUGGUCCUUAUUUACAGUACAUUGAUUUCACUGUUGUAUCUUAUAUUUUGCCUAAACUUGUGGGACUUCACCCUUCAAUAGAGUAGUUUAAGCAUUUACUGUCAGUCCUCUAUACCAGUGGGGGAUUGGUUCCAGGACCCCCAGGAUGCCAAAAUCCAAGCAUGCAUAAAAAAUGGCAUAGUAUUUGCAUAUCACCCACACACAUCCUACUGUGUCCUUAAAAUAAUUUCUACAUUACUUAUAAUAUCUAAUAUAAUGUAAAUGCUAUGUAAAUUUUUCUUAUACUGUUAUUUUUAUCUUUUUAAUUAUUGUAUUAUUAUUCUUUAUUGUUCAUGUCUGAAUAUUUUAAAUAUGAGGUUGGUUGAAUUUGCAGUUGUGAAACCUGUAGAUGCAGAGGGCCAACUAUACAUUUAAUGUAAUGAGUGUUAUUUUUUCUUUUAUUUCUGUAGUUUUGUACUUUAUUUUUAAUGUUCUCUUAUUUUUCCUUUACUUUUAAUUUUUUGUUGUAUGGGCUGUAAUUCCUUUUCGUAACCACCUUUUCCUCUAGUGACUUAGAACAGAUACAUUCUGUUUUUGCUUCAUUGCCAUCGAUAACCUAAUUGGCAAUAACAAGUGCAAAACACUCAUGAGUCCUCUUUAUAUAAAAUGAAGAAACUAACACUCUUAUUUAACUUCUUACUUUGCUCUGCCAUCUCCUAGGUUUUGGCUGACAGAUAACAUAGGGCAGUGAUCAAAGGGUUUACCUUCUCUGUGCCUCAGCUGCCCCAUCUCGAAAGUGGGCAUAAUAGUAUCAUAGGGUUAUUAUGAAAAUAAAAUGACAUAGUGCACAGGAUGCAUUUACAACAGUGCCUAGCACAUGGUAAGUCAGCAGUAACAUUGUAAUGAUCAGUAAGAUUGAAUACAUCCUUUAACUUUUUAAAUGAUAAUCAUUACUUUACAUCAUGAAACUUUUUAUUCAUUAAUUACUUUUACAGCCUUAUCUGGGGAAUUAUUUAGACUUUAUGUUUUACUUUAAUAGUUUUCUCACCUACUCUCAAUUCUUUCAUAUCAUAGUUUUCUAUGUGAGGACUCUUUAUUGUGAUCCAUCUACUAGUUGAUUGGAAUAUUUCUUUGGGUAAUUUUAGGUUAUACAUGUAUUAUAGUUAUAUUAAGUUUGUAAGGGCCAAGGGGAAAAAAAUAAUGACUUUUACAAAUUCAGUUGAUUUUUUCUUUCAUAAAAAAAUCAUUAGGCAGUCUGGAGCUGCUGUGGAAGUUUAGUUUCACAGUCAUCAGGAUGCCCAUCUUAUUUUCAUUUUCAUUCCUAAGUAACAAAAUGGCUGCUGCAGCGCCAUCUAUCACAUCUUCUUCCAUCCAGCAUGAAGGAAGAAAGCCCAAAGAAGAGGUUGGACCCUCCUAUUAAGGAAUCUUCCUAGAAGGUGCAUAUACCUUGUUGGCUUAUAUACAAUUGGCUAGAACUUAGUUACAAUGCGAGGGAGGCCAUGAAGCAUCUUCUUCACUCUGACUAGCCAUCUGUUCAGCUAGACAUUUAUUUCUGGGAUAGAAGAAAAUAGAUAUUGAGGUCAAUUAUCUGUCUCUGUCAUUCUGCCCUUUUGACCACCUGAAUAUCCAGGUGCAUUUGUUCCAUUCCUUUGGCAUAUUCCUCUUCCACAGGGAGACAGUCCCAAGUCCUAUUUAGUUAGGGCGCUCAACUCAAACUCCAUGAUUGCAGGAUGAUGUGCAAUCUUCUCCAUGUCUGCUAUGGCUCCUCAUCAAUCAGUGUCUAACCCCAAACACACAUUUCCUGUCCUUCCAUAUCUAAUCUAUAUCAGUGAAGGAGAAAUAUGAUGACCAAAACAAAAAUGUAUUCUUGGAGAAAAAGAAUUGGAAACACACAAUAGUUACUGAGCAGUGGCUACUGUGUGAUCCUAAUUCUGUUCUUCCUUCCAACUGGAUCUAUAGCAAUGAGCCAUGCCAUGAAGUAGCCACAGCAAAGACCCUCCUACCUGGCAGGUCGGUCGAUGGCUUGGUGGUCCCAUCCUGCAGCCUCAGCUUCUGCUCCUUGCUUUUUGUCCUUGGUGGUCAUAUCUGGGGUGGGCUUUGGAAAGGUUGAUCUUUCUGGGGGCUGUGCCCUUUAUUCGCUCUCUUCCUGCUGGUGCAGUUUUGAGGGCCUGGGAGUUGCUUAGGGGUUGAAUGAUUACUGGCUUUUGAGGGUAAGCUUGUGAUUUAUUUGGAUAGAAUUCCCUUAAUAAUUUAGUAGAUUUCCUGUUUAUUUGCUUCCCAUCAGUUGCAUGUGUAAGUAACUACUGCCAAAGAUCUUGUUUCCAUAUAGUUUCCAAACCGAACUCUGUGCUCUAUGCAACCCUCCUCUCAAUAGUGACCUUGAAGUUGUCUAAAACAACAGGCUUUGGGGAUAAUCCUGGGUAAUCUUACCAUUCCUACCAGGCUAGAACAUGUCAUCUGCUAGGGAUCCCGUAAUGAAAGAUUUUUGAGCAGAGAUUUGGGACCAAAGUUUUAUAUCUUGCUAAUUCCAGGACUUCAAGUCAUUACUUAAAACUGCUUCAGUUUGGAGUUUAGGAGAAAUUGGUUUUUGUUUGUUUGUUUGUUUGUUUUUAGCCCUGUAAGGGUUACUAAACUCUCAGUCUACUAAAAUUGAAGACUACAAGCAGAAAAUGUUCCUCCUGGAGAAGCUGUAUUCCCUUCCAAGGGCUUGCAGCCCAUCCCAUUGUAAACUGGCGGUCAUCUGUCUCUUGUGGGUGUUGUUAAGACUGGUAAUGGCAGCCAACACACCCACAUUCUGACUGUUUCUGACCAUUUUCCCUAAUUCCUUCUCUACUUAUUGAGUGCGCUAUUUCCUUUCUUUUCUUUUCAUUUUCUUUGAAUCCCUCAACAGUGUCCAUGUCUUAUAUUUGUCCCCUUCCUUUCCACAGUCAUCCUCUCAGCUCUUAAUCUGGGUGUCUGGUUACCAGUUCAGAAGCCGAAUAACGAGAUAGGUGGGUGAUGCUUCAGCAAUUCAUCCUGGCAUUCUGGCAGGAUGAAUUCCUCUCUGCAGUUCUUCUCUCUAUCUGGCCAACUGCUGUAGUGACCACUGCCUGCUGCAAUAGGGAAUCUUGCUUUGGAGAGAAUCCUCUAUCCUGCCUCCAUUGCCUUUGCUGGUGCCUGGCUUCUGGCCCAAGUGUUCUGUCAAGGCCAGUUGUGAAUUCCACAUGUCUUCUUCUCAGGCACUGCCACUCCUUAUGCCUAGAGGCAGGGGUGGGGAGGAGGAGAAUGACUGUUUUGUGGAAACCCCCAACUCAGAACCGCACAGAUGCCCUGCAGUUCCACCUCUGCAUGGUAGCCAAAGAGAGUCCUCUAAAUGAAGCAAUCUCUUUGAGCCUCUCAGCAUCCCCGCACUUCCAGCAUCACUCAACCCAGAAACAAUAGAAUCUACAAGGGGACUCCCUACAUGUUUCUUAUGAGGUCAGAAUUGCCAUCCUGGAAAGGUUUCCUUCGUCAGUCCAGGCAGGACUGUGCGGUUGGAAAAGGGACGGAUGCUGGUCCUGGAAGGGGCGUCGUUAUCUAGAAGCUCCCAACCUAAGUGGGUGACUCAUAGGGAGGGCAAGGAGAGAAGGACACAGCAAGCAACUUACAUGUAAAACAAGACGUGUGGGUUAUUAUGGAAGAAAUUCACAACCAAACUUGGGGUUAGCCCGUAUUGUUUUCCAAGAACUCUAUGUGGACAGUGACAAAAAACAGACCUAAGAACUAGCAGACUGGGCAAAGCUUUUUCACAUAACAACAACAAAAAAAGCAAUUCCUCAGGAAAAAAUGGUCAAUGGGUCAUUGUGUGUAGACAAAACUACAAGUUCUGCUCCAGACUCUGGGGAAACCAUGCUGCCAUCUUCAAGCUGUGGCCAUUCUGUAAUACAGACUACGCUAAAUCACAUGUUGUCAUCAAGGCAGAAUAUUUUGUUCCUUUAUGGGUCAGCCUGGGAUACAAAAUUAGAGAAACUUUGCAAUGAAAAAUCCCUUGUGUCUCAUUGAACUUUUUCCUUAAUUCAAACCUUUCCUUUCACAGUUUUGAUUAGUGCCUUUGCCCAUGUGGACAAUAUUUUAUGAUCAGGUUUUAAGAGUAAUCCAUCCAUGGCUGCUUGGCUGCCUGGAACUUAAAACAACGACAACAACAAUGUCCAGAUAAACCCAAUAAAAUAGGUUUUUAAA